rnacentral:rRNA from 1 species
AGGACGAACGCUUGCGGCGUGCCUAAGAAAUGCAAGUCGAGCGGGGGAAGCAAUUCCCUAGCGGCGAACGGUCGCGUAACACGUAGGCAACCUGUCCGAAAGACCGGGACAACAUUUCGAAAGAGGUGCUAAUACCGGAUGCGGUCGGAGGAAGACAUCUUCAUCCGCCUAAAUCAUUUAUGGCUUUCGGAGGGGCCUGCGGCCUAUCAGCUAGAUGGCGAGGUAACGGCUCACCAUGGCGACGACGGGUAGCUGGUCUGAGAGGAUGGUCAGCCGGACUGGGACUGAGAGACGGCCCAGGACUCCUACGGGGGGCAGCAAUUAGGAAUCUUGCGCAAUGGGGGCAACCCUGACGCAGCGACGCCGCGUGGAGGAGGACGGCCUUAGGGUUGUAAACUCCUUUUGACGAGGAAGAAAAAAUGACGGUACUCGUCGAAUAAGCCCGGCUAACUCCGCGCCAGCAGCCGC